GACAAUCAAUGCAUAUGGCACACAACGACCUACACUUGAUAUCGCUAUCAUCCUAGUAAUAGCGUAUCAUUUGGUUGCGAACCAAUUUAAGGACUAUAUGAUAAAUCAUCCUUUAUCGAUCAAAGUAGUCUUAAGGACUUCAUCACAAUAUAAGAGUUUGUUAGAAGAUAUAACCUUAUAAUAAAAAAUAUCAAAUAACUUUUAUUAUUUAUCAAUUCAUAUAUAUUUAUAAUUAGGACAACCAUUAAAUGAUUGACUUUAGGACACAAUUUCUAAUAGUGCCAACCCUUUAGCCCAU
rnacentral:lncRNA from 1 species